UUCAGGCCCUCCUGCAAGGGCUGAUUUGAAUUGCUCUGCAAUAUAAUCAGACCCUCUCUUUCUUAACCUGGUAAUUUGUUCAGGCCCCCUUGUCUUAUGCCCUUGGGAGUCCCCUCUUACUGAGUCCACUCUAAGUUCUCUUUGGGCUUUCUCUACCCAGCUCUGCACUUCUGGUUUCCUAGCCUCUGAUCCUUCUGGUCUCUGGACUGGGGUUUGAAUCUCAUCUUUUCCUGGGCUCUGUGUUUUUGCCCCUCUAGAUCUUGUCUCUAGUAGGAGUGCCCUCUAUAAAACCCAAUCCCAGCCUUGGGCCCUUGGCUGAUGACCUGGCUGGGGCCAGCUGUGCCUUCUCUGGAUGGUGGGAUUCAAACAGGAGCCCUGAUGUCGAGCAGGGCAGAACCUGGAAGCUAACCCAGGGGCUUUUGCCUGAAUAGUAAGUUGUCCUUCCUUAUUCAGGCCUGGAAUUGAGUGGCCACACCCUGUGACCACAUACCCAGAGUGGGUUUUGUGACAAUGGCUUUUAGAUACCCCAGGGUGUCUUCAGUAUUUUGGCAGCUUUCACGAUGUACUUCUUAAAAGAAAGUGAAUUUCACUUUUAUUUUGAGAACAGAACAAUGAGUUGUAAAACAGAAGAAGUAAAAAAGAAGUGAGAUCAUCAAACAAAUUGGAGACAACUUCUGACACAAAAGGGAACCCAGAGUUUUAUGAACCAUAAGAAAAUUAGAAGGGAUUUGAUUCAAAACCCUCAUUUUAUACACGAGGUGACGAAGGACCACAUUAGUGAGCAGUGGUUUGAGAUCCGCUGUGACCAUGUUCCUGGGACUAGCACAACAUCCACAUUUCUCUUGCUUCUGACUGGGCAAUGGUGACUUCAGUCUGAUGGCAGCGUACGGCAAGGGAGAAGGGGACAUGAAGCCUUUCACUAGGGCCCUGCUGACGUGCCACCUGGCUUCAUUAAAUCACACCGAAAGCCUGCCUUAUU